AAUUUUCCCUUUCCUAGAUGGAAGCUAAGUUGUAUGUUUUGUGCCACAGCCUCCUGAUUUGUAUGAUACCAACACAUCCCUCAGUAUGUCUCGAGAUGCCUCUGUAUUUCAAGAUGAGAGUAAUAUGUCUGUCUUGGAUAUUCCCACUGCCACUCCAGAAAAGCAAGUAACACAGGAAGGUGAAGAUGGAGAUGGUGAUCUUGCAGAUGAAGAGGAAGGAACUGUACAACAGCCUCAAGCCAGUGUCCUGUAUGAGGAUUUGCUUAUGUCUGAAGGAGAAGAUGAUGAGGAAGAUGCUGGGAGUGAUGAAGAAGGAGACAAUCCAUUCUCUGCUAUCCAGCUGAGUGAAAGUGGAAGUGACUCUGAUGUGGGAUCUGGUGGAAUAAGACCCAAACAACCCCGCAUGCUUCAGGAGAACACAAGGAUGGACAUGGAAAAUGAAGAAAGCAUGAUGUCCUAUGAGGGAGACGGUGGGGAGGCUUCCCAUGGUUUGGAGGAUAGCAAUAUCAGUUAUGGGAGCUAUGAGGAGCCUGAUCCCAAGUCGAACACCCAAGACACAAGCUUCAGCAGCAUCGGUGGGUAUGAGGUAUCAGAGGAGGAAGAAGAUGAGGAGGAAGAGCAGCGCUCUGGGCCGAGCGUACUAAGCCAGGUCCACCUGUCAGAGGACGAGGAGGACAGUGAGGAUUUCCACUCCAUUGCUGGGGACAGUGACUUGGACUCUGAUGAAUGAGGCUUCCUUUGGGCCUCCUUGGUCAGCCUUCCCUGUUCUCCAGCCUAGGUGGUUCACCUUUCCCCAGUUUGUUCAUAUUUGUACAGUAUCUGAUCCUGAAAUCAUGAAAUUAACUAACACCUUAGCCUUUUUAAAAGUAGUAAGUAAAUGAUAAUAAAUCACCUCUCCUAAUCUUCCUGGGGCAGUAUCACCCUUUGAUUUAAAACAAAGCAACCCCCUUUCCCCUACCACUACCAAAAAGAGCAAGCUCAUUUUCCCGUGUCCUCCUUUAACUCCAUGUAUUGCUUUUGGUAUAAUUUUUCCCUGGGGAAGGAGGGGAAAUUAUGAAAGAACUAGUAACUUUAUGUCCUCUUGAUGUAUUAGGAAAUUUCCGGCCGGGCGUGGUGGCUCACACCUGUAAUCUCAGCACUCUGGGAGGCCGAGGCAGGCGGAUCACCUGAGGUCAGAAGUUCGAGACCAGCUUGGCCAACAUGGCGAAACCUCAUCUCUACUAAAAAUACAAAAAUUAGCCAGGCGUGGUGGCGUAUGCCUGUAAUCCCAGCUACUUGGGAGGCUGAGGCAGGAGAAUCGCUUGAACCCGGGAGGCAGAGUUUGCAGUGAGUGGAGAUAACACCACUGCACUCCAGCCUGGGUGAAAGAGUGAGAUUCCAUCUCAAAAAAAGAAAAUUUUCAAGCAUGGUAUCAUCUCACUUUUCUAAUUUACAGGCUGGAACAGAUGAGAGCCCUCCUGCUGGGACAGAGAAUUGGGUUCUAGUGGACUCUGUGCUACACUUAAACCUAUGAGACAAACCACCCAUUAUUUUAUUAUUUAUUAAAUUAUGCAAAAAUGCCUAGUUCCUAAAUGGAUUUGAGGCAAAUUACCGUAAAUUUUGAAACAGCCUAUAUGUCAGAAAUGAUAAUGUUGCCACCUAAAUGUUUCUGUCCCUCCCCCCCAGGGGAAAUGGUAGGAAAAUGGUAAGUUUCUUAGGACAAAGACUGUGUAUUCUGUUUCUUUUCAUGCUUAGGAUAUGGUUCUGUGCAUAGUAGGUUCUCAGUAAAUGUUCCUAGAAUCAUAAAGUCCUCAACAGAUAUGUUACUGAGCAUCUGCUUUUCAUGAUAAGCACUCUAUCAGAUCCUUGGGAUGCAAAGGUAAAUAAGACAAAUCCCUUUUACCCAAAGAGCUCACCAUCGAGUUGGGGGAGGGGAAGUGGAAUUCAAAACAUGUUAAUAAAUCAUCAUAGUACUGUGAGAUAAGUGCAAUUAAGAAGCUAGUUAUAAAGUAUAGGGGAAAUAGAGGAGUAAUCAUGUCUGAAAAGUCAGGGAAGUCUUCCUAGAGGUAAUUUUUAAGCUGAUUGUUUUAGAAUUAGUAGAAGCUUGCCAGAUGGAAAAGUCCAGGCAAAGUGUAACAUGAAUGGGAAAGGCCACAGUCUAGAAAUGGCAGAGUGUGUUCCUAGUUUGUUUGUUUGUUUGUUUGUACCUGCCUUGUUCCAGGAAGGAUUUAAGGUAGUUUAUAUUCCAGUCCUUUAAUGCUGGAAUGGCUAGAGAUGAGACUGAAAGAUGGGCAGGAAGUAUAUCAUCACAAGCUUUGUGUUUGAUGUUAAUGUGUAUGAUUUUUAUAUUGUGGGAAUAAGCUCUGAAAGGAGUGAUAUAAUCAGGUUUGUAUUUUAGAAAUCUGUGUAAUGAAUGAAUGAAGAAAAAUUGAAGAACUAUGUAACAGAUAUAUGUGAUCCCAUUUUUGUAAAAGACAACCAUGUGUGUUUAUUUAUAUGUGUUUAUAUAUAUACUUGUGUAUGCAAAGGUAAACGUCUGAAAGGAUAUAUGCUAACUGUUCACAAUGAUAACCCCCAGGAAUGGGAUUGGAGGGGAAGGGGCUUCUGUGUUUGUUAUGUAUGCUGGGUGGGAUAUUGUGCUUUUAUUUCUGUAUUGUUUGAAUUUUUUUACAAGUGUGUAUUAUUUUUGUAAUAAAAUUUUUAAAAAAUUCCAGCAGUAGUGUGGAGAAUGGUUUGGAUGGAUCUAGUUCAAGUAAGAGAGAAUGGAGCCCAAACUGGUGCUAUGGUAUUGGGAUGGGGAGGAGAGGGAUGGAUUUGAGAGAUCUUUAGGGAGUAGGACUU
rnacentral:lncRNA from 1 species